rnacentral:lncRNA from 1 species
ACGGUGCCCAGCCAAAAUUGUUUUUUUGUUUGUUUGUUUGUUUGUUUGUUUGUUUUGAUUGUUUCUCUCUCUAUUCCUUUUCAUUAAUAUGAGACUAAAGGCAGCUAAUGUUAGAAGAGGGAUUGCUUCAGUUUCAUAGUCUAGUAAAUAAAUAUGGGUUAAUAUUUUGUAUUUAAUGACCUAAAGAAGAAAUAAGGGAAUCCUGAGGCAUAAAUGAGAGAAAGGAAAGUGUUAGGGCCAAGAUCCUUGUGGGAGGAGAGGUCUUCUGUUUUUACAGGGAAACAGGCUCUGAUACCAGUUUGCAGUCUGGAAACCACUCAAACUUACAGAUGGAGGAAAAAUCUGGCCACUGAUCUUCAUGCUAGCAUUCAGAACAUCUGGUGGGUGUGUUCUUGACCAGUCCAGGGCUACAGAUGAGAAGUACCCUCUGAACAAUGGAUCUUCCUCAUAUCCAUUUCCCCAUUGAUGAACUCUGUUGAGAUUUUUUUUACCUAUUCAGUUACCUGGAAGCUGUGGAUCUUGGAGACUGGGUCUUAACCAGCCUUAUACAUGGGAAGGUCUCAAAGGAAAAAUCUGGAUGGAAAUGCCUUGGUUGGAGCUGAAGAAGAGGGUCUGGCUUGUCCAAGAACUAGCAAGAACACUGUUUUUUGGCAUAGAUUUUAGGGCUCUUUGGAUAUGCAUGGUUAUGGUGCUGCUGGUGAUUAUAAAGGGGCUCAACCCCUUUACUCCAACUCCUUGGACUUGCCAGGAAGCUUGGCUCCAUAAUCUGGGGAUUCAGUUGGGAUCAGCUUAUUGAACAGACCCCGAGCAUAGAGAAAUGACUUUUCCUCUCUUAGGCUACCUCCUUAUGAAUAGUGGCCAUCUUAUCUUCUAGAUGGAUCAUAAAUAUGACAUGUACUAUUAAGUUUUCACUUACAUCCAUGCUUCCUCACUUGUAAGUCCUACUAUGCCUUGCGCAUAUCUACAGCAUCAGUCUCGAUACACUGUCCUAUAACUUUAUGUUUAUUUAUCUUCCGCCCUCACUAGAUUGAUUUCGAACUCCAUGAAAGCAGAGUCGAUUAUCCAUAUCUGUGUAUAUCCAUAUCUGUGUAUCCCAGAUCUAGCCCAAAGCCUCAUAUGUAGUCAAUGUUCAGAAAUUAUAUUAUUUAAGAUAACAAACCAAUGAAUAUGACUGCAAGGAUAACUAUGGCACUAUUGUCAGCAGUUAGCUAGAAAUAGAUCCAGAUUUGGAGUUAAGAAAAAUCAGAUGGCCCAGCAGAUUGGUGUGGGGAGCUCAAUGAGAAAAACAGAUUUCUCUGGAAAAGAAAGAAGGAGUAAAGAGGAUGGCAAAAUAAAGUGAAAAAAAACAAAACCAGAAAACUCAAUCUUCUGGAGCAAAAAUAAAACAGUGAAGAUUAAGAGUGAACACAGGGGAACAAUUCAAAUUCCAAAUGAUGAUUUGCAUAAUGGUAAUACUAGUAGCAAUAAUAAUUAUAAUGACACCAAGAAUCAGUGAGAAUCCAUCUGUUUCUUAGUGCCUCAUAAUUUAGUACCUCAGUGUUUACAGAGCAAUUUCUCAUUCAGGAUGUAAAUGAUCCCUCAGGCAGAGUAUACUGCCUCCAUUGCCUUAGACUCACAAUGGUCAUCUCAUUCCAAAGAUAGAGCGCUAAAAUAGAUUCCCAGAGUGCCUUCUUCCUCCAGAGCUAGGAGUUUCCUUUAAGACCAGAGAGAAGUAUUUUAUUCAUUUAUCUUUGAAUCCUCAGUAGCACAGAAGAGAUGCUCAUACAUUUUCGUUGAUUUAUCAUCUUAUAUCUAUCCCACAGCAAGCUCCAAGAUAAAUAGGUCCUGUCCUGUACCCCCAUUUUUUAGAUGAGAAAACCAGAGACAUUUGGUCAGAGUUGAAGUUGGAAAACAAAUCUGAGAUUUUUGAAGACAUUGUUUUUUUUUUCUGCAGUGCCAUAGUAUAGCCUAGAAAGAUUACCAAGGUCACAUUGCUUAAUAAUUACUUGUUUUCUGUUAGCAAUUCUAAGAAAGCACAUUCCUUUAGUAUUCAUAUAGAGGACUAAAGAAAUCUCAUGUCAAAGUUACCACUUCUUAUGCUUUGCAAGGAUCAAGGACAAGGCUUAACACUUUUGAGUCAGUCUUGAGCACCUAAAGCACUCUUUUAAAUUUUGAAGUGAUGGAAAACAGGAAAAGCUUUUUGCAUCUGGAUGUAAAAAUCCAUGUGUAUUUUAAGGGAAAUAGGAUCCAUGCAUUUCUGAUUAAUUUACACUUAAAUCAAUGAAGUGUUUUGCAAAAGAUAUUUGAUGUUCAAGAAGCCUUUUUUAAAAAGUCUAAUGGGACUUUAAAGCUGUUUUUGUCUUAAGAAGAGGAACUUAUUUUUUCCCCCAUGAUCUUAUACACAAAUGGUAUGGUUUCAAAGUCUCAUUUACAGAAUCUUUUUGCUUUCAAAAUCUUUCCAUUUACCCCUACCCAGAGGUAGCUAACCUGGAUUUGAUUAUGAUUAGCUUUAUCUAUCUAUUAUUUAUUCAUUAUUUUGUCAGUAGCAUUCUCAAGGAAACAGGCAGAUAUAUUUGGGGAGACUGUCAGAAUAUUGGAUGUGAUCUUCUUCCUCAUAAACAAAAAAGCCUCAGAAGUUUCUAGCAAAAUGGAGGACUGAAUGAAUUACACAAGAUACGAUUAUCAUGUGGAGGAAGAAGAUGUAAAACAAUGGCUGAGGAUAGAGGCUUGGAACCGAUGCUGUCUUCAUGUUUGUAGAGUAGAUAAAACCAAAAGAAAAUGUGUUUGGGGGUGAUGGUAACUAGAAUUAGUUGAGCAACCACUAUAUGUUUGAGUUUUUCAGAAUGCUGUUCUAUUUAAUCUACUCAAUUGUUAGGAGAUACAGAUGUUAUUAAUUCCAUUUUUUAGAUGAAGGAUGUAAGACUCAGAAAGAGAUAUUGACUUCCCUAAAUCACACACGUGGUAGGCGGCGAGUGUAGGAUUUCUACCUGUGUUUUCCCUUCAGACCAAACUUUUUAGAAGACCUCAGCAUUUGUCAUGCUGCAGGUAGUGAGUCCCCAUGGCGAUUUCUGAUGGGACAGAGAUGUGGAAAAUAAAUAGGUGGGAAAGUUACUUUCUUUCCAAUUUUCCUUCAACCCUCUGAUUUUUGUCAAGAGAGAACAUUUCAGUUCCCUGCCAGUGCUGAUCUCUCUAACAAGGCCAAUGCUGGCCUCAGGUUCAGAGCCUUAAGCGGACUCCAAGUACCUUGUUAGAAUUGAAGAACAUUGUUUUGCAUUCAUUCAAUUCAUUUCUAAGUUUACCUUGUAUUUAUGGCAAGUAAAAAUAAUUUUCUUGUUUUUAGGCAUGAAUAUAAAGUUUUCUUUCAAAACAAAUGUUUAUUUUAUGUUUUUAGAGAAAUAAGUUGAUUAAAAUAUUUUAUCACACAGAUGGUGCACAGACAAAAAAAGACAGCACUGUAUAUAUGACUGUAGCUUGGGGAGAAAUAGUUAUAUUUAAAAAAGUCCUUUCAAAAUAACAUUAUCAAGUAAAUUGUCCACUUAAACUGGGAAGUAUACACAUUUAAAGUAGUAUUCCUGAGCUUAAAGUUUCAUUCAAUAUUGAAUGUUUCAUAUUACUUUCAUUUCCUGUAAAAUCAUCUCCAAAAAUAUAAAUGUUAGGUCUAGAAGUUACAAAGAAUUGGAACAGUAUAACCUAUUCCAGUGGACAUUGCAGAAAUGGUUUUAGUCUUCAGCUACCAUUCAGAUACAAACAGAAUUAUAAUAUUGUAUCUCUGCCUGCCUUCCUCCCCACCAACAAUAUUUCAAAACAAUAAUCAUCAUCUUCACUUAACAUCCUGGACAUAGGUUAAUGGGAAUUCUGCUGUAGUUUCUUUUUUUCACAGAAGGCUGAGUUAAAAUAAAUCAAAUAAAUCUUCCCAGUGUACACAUUUGAAGCAGAGUAUGUGAAAACAAACUAAAACCUACUUCCAAGUUUUGUGACUAUUUUAUUUGGUUUAUCACCCAAUUUCAUUUGGGGAGACAUUGUGGUCCUCUUCAAUAAAAGUUUAUUUUUAUUUUUUCUCCUUGCCAUUGCAAAGGGAAGUCAAAAUAUUGCUCAUAAAGUGUGAAUGUCUUUAUGAACAGCUGAUAGAUAUCAAGGAAAUGCUCUGAGGAUUAGAAGGUGAUUUUGUGACAAAAUAUCUACUUUCUCUAAAUAGUACCUUCAGUAGCUUUAUAGCAAAUAUUGCCGAAGAAAGAGAAUAUAAAUCGCUUAAAUCCCCCAAGACUUAAUACUGAAGAAUCAUUUAUGUUUUUCUUUUGUUUGAAUUACUAACACUGUACUGAGUAAGGAAAAAAAAAAACACUUUACAAAGAAAAGUGAACAGAGAGAGGGUGUGGAGGGUGCUACGCACACAGUACUAAACACUGGGUCCCUUUUUGAUCAUUGGUUUUGCAUGAUGUAUUCAGGGCCUUGGAAUUUGGGGUGCUUCUGUGGGGAUAUUCACAAUUGUAAACGAUGCACAUCUUUUAUCAUUGCCAGAUGUGAAAUAUACAAUUUUGGAAAUGUACCAGUUUGGAGUCAGAAAAUCUAGGAUGUAUUCUGGGUCCUGUCGCUAGAGAUAGGACUUUUAAAAAGUAAAAUAGCAAUUGUUCUUUUUUCGCUUUGAUUUGUUUCUCUUUUAGAGAUGAGUUUCUGGUAGUCACUAUUUGACAAAUUGUAACAGAACCCUCCCCAUUUUCCUUUCUACUUGCCCUGUGAAUUUGUUCCUGCUGGUUGGAUCAGUCAAGAUGGGAAUGCUAAUUUAUUACAGCAGUCUUUUGUCAAUGUCACUUUUAUAUGUAUACAGUGCUUUCACCUCUCCUUUUUCCUUUUUCUGUGGUCACACCUCCGCUAACUCUCAGUAAAAGAUUGCAUUUAACUCUCUGAACCUGGGGUUCUUCAUCAGUAAUCGGGAAGAAAUUACCCUUGUCUCACCUCUCUCACUGGAUUUUAGGAAAAUUCCAAUAAUAUGAAAUCUAUGUGGCAAAACUGCUAACCCUAAAUACACGCACACACAUACACACACACACAAUGUUACAGUCAUUUAUGUUAACAGGUGAAGUCAAAAGCAAGAAAGAAAAAUUUUUCCUGUUUGUCAGAAAUUUUGGGUCUAAUGUUGUGCUGUGGUUUGGAUGUUUGGUUGAAAUCUGAUCCCCGGUGUUGGAGGUGUAGCCCAGUGGGGGGUGUUUAGGUCCUGGAGAUGCAUCCCUCAUGAAUAGAUUAACACUUCUUCCAGGGUGAGUUCUCUCUCUGUUUGUUCCCCUACUACUGCGGGUUGAUAAAAAGAGCCUGGCAGCUCCCCACUGUCUCUUGUUUCCUCUCUUGCCAUGUGAUCCCUGCACACAUCAGCUCCUCACCUCCCCUUCACCUUUUGAAGCAGUCUCAUUGCCUGGAGUAACACCCAAGGUUUGUUGUCUCAAGGCCAUGGAGAACAAGGACGUGGACACACAAAGAGUGAGGUUAAGAGUGCAAGUUUAGGCCGGGCACGGUGGCUCACGCCUGUAAUCCCAGCACUUUGGGAGGCUGAGGCGGGUGGAUCAUGAGGUCAGGAGAUUGAGACCAUCCUGGCUAACAUGGUGAAACCCCGUCUUUACUAAAAAAAAAUACAAAAAGUUAGCCAGGUGUGGUGGCAGGGACGUGUAAUCCCAGCUAUGCAGGAGGCUGAGGCAGGAGAAUGGCAUGUACCCAGGAAGUGGAGCUUGCAGUGACUGGAGAUGCACCACUGCACUCCAGCCUGGGCGACAGAGUGAGACUCCACCUCAAACAAACAAACAAACAAAAAAAGAGCAGAAGUUUAGCAGGGGAAAGAAAGAGAAUAGCUCCCUGCAGAGAAGGGUCCCAGAAAAAUGGGUUGCCAGGUCCAUGGUGAAAUGCAGGGGGUUUUAUAAAUGAGCUGGUGAGGAGGUGGUGUCUGAUCUACAUAAGGUGUAAAAAACUGGUUGGACCAGGUGUGUCAUAUGCCUACGGUGUGAAUCUCUGGUAAUCCCACCCUAAUCGUUUAUACAGGCAGGUUCUCUGCCUGAGCUGUGCCAUGUUGCCCAUUUCUUUAUUACUGUACAUGUGGUAACAAAAAAAAAGGAAGAUGGAGCCUCCAUGUUGGACAUACCAGGCCCCCAGGUAACCCUUUUCUAUUGGCGCCGCUGCCGGCAUUCCCCCAUGCAAGCUUCUGGCUUCCUUAUUUGUUUGCAGCUCAGUUUUUCAGGCUGCUCUUUGUUAGAAAAGAAAUUAUUUUGGUGGCUGUUUUUGUUAGAAGGGAAGCUCUGCUGAGGACUUCUUUACCUUCACUAUCUGCCUAAAUAAUUUCUUUCUAUCUCCUCUAUCACUUUUACUAUAAGUGGAUGCAGCCUGAGGCUCUCACCAGAUGCAGAUGCCCAAUCUCGAACUUUCCAGCUGUCAGAAUUUGAGCCAGAUAAACCUUUUUCCUCUAUAAAUUGCCCAGCCUCAGAUAUAUUCCUUUGUAGCAACACUAAACUAAGACAUAUUGUAUCUGUCAUCUUCCAUAACGAUAUUACACAUAGACAGAGAGAGUGGGUACCACGUUAUAUGUGCGGGAGCCAAAAUCUCCCUCAUCAGCAGACAUACUUGUCUGGCUUGCCAUUCUCUUUGAAAAUUUCACCAUGAACAUUUCUCCUUAUAAGCAAAAGCAUUAUAUGAAUACUUGGUAGUAAUAGUGUUUAUUUGUUUGAUUAACCCACUAGAAGUUCAGUGUCUUAUUAAUGUAUAGAUAGUGUAUCUAUGACUACAUCUACCUGACUACUCACUUUUAUCAAGUAUGUAUUAAAUCUCAUUUUGGUUUCUACUUAGUAUCAGGUGCAGCUAAUUGGGAAAUGAAUGAGACAAGAUGCCCUCAAAAUCUCAGUCAAGUGGCAGAGACAGACAUUGUGAACACAUGAUCUUGGUUCAACAGCAGCUCUCAAGUCCUGUACAGAAUGGAUUGAUGGUAACAGCGAAGGCAUAGGAGUCCGAGAAGAUCCUUGGAAAUACCUCUCUGAAUAACCUUGUAACCUUCUAACCUUGUGUCAUUUAACUUCUCUGACACAUAGUCGGGUGUGGCUGGAGUGUAGAAUACAUGGGAGAGUAUAAGAAGUUGGAAGAUCACGUGCCAAGAAAGUUAAAUUAGCCAACUCAUGAGGUUCUCAUCUUCCAGGCUGAGAAACUUGGACAUUAGUCUACCAGGCCUCUUUCGUGUUGAAAAAUAUCCAGGAGGUGUAUAUAUAUAUCACCUCCGUGAUAGCUGUUAAAAAUAUAUAGCCCUAGAGGUUGGGUGAAGUGUAGAUGUUAUAAGGGACAAUGGAAGGCAGGAAUACGAUUUAAGAGGUAAUUGCAAUACUAACAAAAAACAGCAAACAUAAAAUAGAACUUUUAUAAGUGCUUUAAGCCAUUGACUACACAUACAUAGGUACCUCAUACCUAUACCUAUAAUAAGAAUACCUUAGGAUACAGGUACUUAUGAUACAGGUAUUCUUAUUGUCUUUUGUAGAUCAGAAGUGUGAGCUAAAGGGAAGUUAGGUAACCUGCUCAUGAUCACACAGUUAGAGUGCCUUCAGAAAUCUUACUUUUAACAAUUACGUUAUACUGCAGUAGUCCAGGUGGGAAAAUAGGAGGGCCUGAACUAAGCUGAAGCAUUAUAAGAACAUGCUUUUUAUGUGAAUGCACAUUUUGGACUUGCUAUCUCUGUGCCUAUGAUAUCGUUUGUACCUCCAGAACAGGCACUCUGAAUUGUAUAAAUUAUUGUUAUCUUUAUAGUGUUUUAACACAGCCUUCUUUAGUGCUUGGCAAACAGCUCAUGCACAUUUAGCAAGUGCACCAGGGUGAUGGGAGUCAGAGGCAUCAGUAGAUUCUGUCUACAAUUUGAAGUAUACGACUCCACUGCAACAUGAGACUCCAGUUUAUGCAUAUGGACAUCUUGCUUGACCUCCAAGGUCCAGUCAGCUGAUGAGACAACUGCUAUAAGAAUUAUUUGCAAUCUCUGCCCAUCCACAAACUCUCCACCAUGACUACUGCACUUAGAGCACUCUGCAGUAUUUUCCAGAUGUCUGUUAUCUGUCCUGUCACACCUAGCAAGCGAUCUGGGAAAACAGGGAGCAUCUAUGAUUUUAACGAAGUAUUAACUACACACAAGGCAAUAUGCAAUAAAGAAAAUAAAAUGUCUUGAAGGAUUGUGAACAUAUGGGAAAUGAUAAGUGACUGACAGAGUUUAAAUUGUGUGGAUGGUAUACCUAUAGCUUAAGUCAAACAAAGUUUGUCCCACUAGAUUUUCACACAUAGUAUAGUGAAUAGAGAAGAUAUGAGUGGAUAAUUUCCUCACAGUGUAUAAUUUCCUCAGCCUGAUGUCCACAGCCUUUAUAAUCUGCCUCCAACUUCCUUUUACUAACCAAUCUCUCAUAACCUCUGUGUGAAACUUUCUCUCCACUCACUCUGAACUUAGUGCUUUGGUUUACUAGAUUUUUCUUUAAAUUUUUUUGUCUAUGGCAGUUAUUGCAGAUACCUCUUGCCAUGCUGUAACCAGAGCAGACCCUUCUAAUUGAUUGUGACUUAGUAUGGAAGCAUUUUUAAGAUUUAUCUCAGGGCAGCACUUAAGACAGCCACCAAAAAUCAUUCAGAAUUUGACAAUUAGAUUAACUUCCUUUGCCAAAUAAGCUUGCAUGCUUCCUUCAGCUUGAAAUGGCCAACUUCAUUGGUCUCAUCAUUAGGAAUCCUGCUAAUUCACGUCCUCCAUGAAAACGUCCUGAUUUCCUCAAUUCAUGGGGAAUUACCCCCUCAGACCUAAUGUAUCACAGGUCUACAACAUUCAGAAAAUCCUUCUCAUUUGUUCCCUAGUCUGCCUCCUUAGCUGUUGCAGUCACAGCCACCUGUUUGCAUGACCUUACCUGUCUACUUCUUUUUGGGGUAAAAAUGCUCCUUAUAUUCCUUGUGGCACUCAUAUAAGCCUAGCACUUAGUAGGAGUUCAGCGAAACUGGAAUAACAGAGAUAACCAACUGAUGGGUGGGGAAAAAAGCAAACCCGAAGAGACGCUGAUCAAAUUUAGUAUAAACCAAGACAAUGGAAAGUGAAGAGAGAGUGGAUUGACAGGGCCAUUAUGUAAGUUAAUUUGCUCUAAGAUGUCAGCCCCAUUCUUGGCUUUUCCUGGCUUUCAAUCUGCGUGAACUCCUUGUCCUGCAGACAGACAGACAGCUUCAGGGUGGAUUAAAUAAUCAGUCAAGUGAGAAGAGCAUCUCCCAAUAUGUCUGCAAAGACACUUCUAUUUCAAGAAUGAUUAUUAAAAGCCACAAGGAAGACAGUGAUAACACAGUUGAAACAUUGACUUACUGAUCAAAAGAGACACUAAUACGCACUCCUUAAGGGAAAGAGUUAGAUUUUAACAUGCAUACAAGCAAAUCCCUUUGCUCCUUCUUUUCCAUUCUGCAUUGUCACACAAAAAUCCCAUUUCUGAUACUCUCAUUUUGGCUCACGGCUUUUCUGCAAAUAGUUUAAUUUGUGCUUUGUUUCGUCUUCUUUCCUUCCUUGCUUUCCUGCUUCUUUCCCUUUCUUUUUUUUCUCUUUCUUUCUUUCUUUUGUUCAACUAUUUUAGCAGAACUAUUUUUCUUUAGGUUCUAUCUCUUUUUUGUAUCACUCUGUUUUUCCCUUUCUCCCUUAGUUUAUUUCUUUUUUUAAUUGCAUUCAGAGAGAUUUUCCUCCUCAAAUAGAUGGUGUGGCCCCCCGAAUAGAACUCAAUGUACAAUUUGUUGAAGAGUAAACUUCAUCAAGUAAAGUUAUAGUGGGACUUGGAUUAUUUUAUUUUUUUGUUUGUUUGUUUGUUUUUUAGGUGAGAUAUCAUUACCUCUUGAAAUCUAAAUGUCCACAUUUGUAACAUAACAUGAGUGCAUUAUAGCAGGCACACAGGAAGACUCUUAAACGGUAACAAUGGUGACUUUAAUCAAUAUUGCAUAUGGAAAUUGAGCCACUGACCUUGGGAUAUCUAUUAUAUUGGCUCAAUGCAAAUUGGUUCUUUCAUUUUAAUCCCCUGGGUUUUUUAACUCAUUUUAUGUAUAUCAGUCAAUUUUCUGAGAUGUUUGGCUCUUUUCACCUAGGAUAACUGUUUUCUGCAACAUGCUAAAAUUCAUUUCCAUGUGGCAGGUAGAGAGGUCACUAGGUUUGUAAGCACUCCUAAUUAAAAUGCAUGAUGCUACAAAGGUAAAAGGGACAAUGAGCCAUAAACAAAUCGCCUGACAGUAGCUGACAGCCAUCGACUGGACGUACAUGUUUUUUUCAUUGAGAAUAGGAAAGAUCUGGUUUUUUUAAAGAUGCACACAUACCACACGCUCUUCCAAGUUAACUCUUUCUCAUGAAAAAUCUGUCUCUGACUUAGGAUUCAAAUGACAAUUGAAACUGGAGGAGCUGACUUUUCUCAUACUUCCUCUCAACUACUUUCAUUAUUUACCAUCUUAAAAUCAAUUUUCAGGAAAAAAAUAAGGCAAGAUCCAUUAUUAAAUAUUUUUAAACAUUAGGUGUUAGUAAUCAUACCAUUUCAG